rnacentral:rRNA from 1 species
UACGUAGGGGGCAAGCGUUAUCCGGAUUUACUGGGUGUAAAGGGAGCGCAGACGGAUCUUCAAGUCUGAUGUGAAAUGUCGGGGCUCAACCCCGAAGCUGCAUUGGAAACUGGGGAUCUAGAGUGCAGGAGAGGUAAGUGGAAUUCCUAGUGUAGCGGUGAAAUGCGUAGAUAUUAGGAGGAACACCGGUGGCGAAGGCGGCUUACCGGACUGUAACUGACGUUGAGGCUCGAAAGCGUGGGGAGCAAAC